AUUGAACGCUGGCGGCAGGCUUAACACAUGUAAGUCGAACGCCCCGCAAGGGGAGUGGCAGACGGGUGAGUAACACGUGGGAAUGUACCCUUCGCUUCGGAAUAGUCCCGGGAAACUGGGUUUAAUACCGAAUACGCCGUAUUGGGAAAGAUUUAUCGGCGAAGGAUCAGCCCGCGUUGGAUUAGCUAGUUGGUGGUGUAAUGGACCACCAAGGCUACGAUCCAUAGCUGGUCUGAGAGGACGACCAGCCACACUGGGACUGAGACACGGCCCAGACUCCUACGGGAGGCAGCAGUGGGGAAUCUUGGACAAUGGGCGCAAGCCUGAUCCAGCCAUGCCGCGUGAGUGAAGAAGGCCUUAGGGUUGUAAAACUCUUUCGCCGGUGAAGAUAAUGACGGUAGCCGGAGAAGAAGCCCCGGCUAACUUCGUGCCAGCCGCCGCCGUAAAAC
rnacentral:rRNA from 1 species